ACACAUGCAAGUCGAACGAGCGAGAGAGAGCUUGCUUUCUCGAGCGAGUGGCGAACGGGUGAGUAACGCGUGAGGAACCUGCCUCAAAGAGGGGGACAACAGUUGGAAACGACUGCUAAUACCGCAUAAGCCCACGGUGCCGCAUGGCACAGAGGGAAAAGGAGCAAUCCGCUUUGAGAUGGCCUCGCGUCCGAUUAGCUAGUUGGUGGGGUAACGGCCCACCAAGGCGACGAUCGGUAGCCGGACUGAGAGGUUGAACGGCCACAUUGGGACUGAGACACGGCCCAGACUCCUACGGGAGGCAGCAGUGGGGAAUAUUGCACAAUGGGGGAAACCCUGAUGCAGCGACGCCGCGUGGAGGAAGAAGGUCUUCGGAUUGUAAACUCCUGUUGUUGGGGAAGAUAAUGACGGUACCCAACAAGGAAGUGACGGCUAACUACGUGCCAGCGGCCGCGGUAAAACGUAGGUCACAAGCGUUGUCCGGAAUUACUGGGUGUAAAGGGAGCGCAGGCGGGAAGACAAGUUGGAAGUGAAAUCUAUGGGCUCAACCCAUAAACUGCUUUCAAAACUGUUUUUCUUGAGUAGUGCAGAGGUAGGCGGAAUUCCCGGUGUAGCGGUGGAAUGCGUAGAUAUCGGGAGGAACACCAGUGGCGAAGGCGGCCUACUGGGCACCAACUGACGCUGAGGCUCGAAAGUGUGGGUAGCAAACAGGAUUAGAUACCCUGGUAGUCCACACCGUAAACGAUGAUUACUAGGUGUUGGAGGAUUGACCCCUUCAGUGCCGCAGUUAACACAAUAAGUAAUCCACCUGGGG
rnacentral:rRNA from 1 species